CAAGGUUUCCGUAGGGUGAACCUGCGGAAGGAUCAUUG
rnacentral:rRNA from 1 species